UUGUGCUUUAUUUGCUUUUUGAAAACAGGUUUGCUGUUUGCUUAUGUUAUAUGAGAUGGAAGGGAGUUCCGUGCAAUCGUGGGGCUGUAUAGUACUGUAUGUUUCCUGGAAUUUGUUCUGGACCUGGGGACUGUGAAAAGACCCCUGGUGGCAUGACUGGGUCUCUAUGAGGAGAGGUGUUGUUAUUCACCUUGGGGUUGUUGACUUCGAACCGGCCCGCGGAGAGGCCGAUGAAGAGGGCGUUGUGGUGAGCGGAGCGGAGAGACUGAGCGAGAGCGUGAGGCCAGAGAGGAGGACGAGUCCUCCAUGGACGACUGGGCUGACAUAAGAACCAGAGUUGCAGUACGACGGUGGGCCGGCGAGGAGCACGGUUUGGGUGGCGUCUUCAGCAUCUCUUCUGAUUUGGCUGCUGUACCCUGGGAGCUGAUUUAUCUAGAGGAUGAUUUAAAUCACGCUACAGCAUGUUUUAUUGAUUUGCUCACUGAGGUAAUGGACCAUCAUGC